ACGAACGCUGGCGGCGUGGCUAAGGCAUGCAAGUCGAACGGUCAUACGCAACGGGUAACUGGAGCGUAUGAUAGUGGCGAACGGGUGAGGAAUACAUGGAUAACGUACCCCAGACACAGGAAUAGCGGCGGGGAAGCCCUUUGCGAAAGUGCCGGUAAUACCUGAUGACCCCGACGGACCGCAUGGUUUGUCGGGCAAAGGUCAGCCGGUCUGGGAUCGGUUCAUGCCCUAUCAGCUAGUUGGCGGGGUAACGGCCAACAAAGGCUUUGACGGGUAUCGGGCGUGAGAGCGUGGCCCGACACAUCGGAACUGAGACACUGUCCGGACACCUACGGGUGGCUGCAGCAACGAGUAUCCCGCAAUGGACGCAAGUCUGACGGAGCGACGCCGCGUGCGGGAAGAAGUCUUUCGGGAUGUAAACCGCUGUCAGGGGUGAGGAAUAAAUUGACCAGCCCCAGAGGAAGCACCGGCUAACUCCGU
rnacentral:rRNA from 1 species